CUCCCAAGUGCUGGGAUUAAAGGCGUGAGCCACCAACGCCCGGCGAUGUAUUUAUUCUUAUUUUAUGUGCAUGAGUGUUCUGCUUGCAUGUAUAUGUGUGCAACACAUGCAUAUCUAGUGCUCACAUGGUUUAGAAGAAGGCAUCAGAUCUCCUGGUACUAGAGUUACAGAUUGUUAUGAGCCUUGUGGGUGUCAGGAACUGGACCCAGGUCCCCAAAAAGGCGGCAAGUACUCUUAAUUGAUAGUCCAUGUCUUCUGCCUGCUCCUCUUUAAUGUGGUACUGGGGAUCAAAUCCCGGGGCUCCCUUAUUCUUAACUGUGUUUUUCUUCUUGCAUGGUUAUUUGGGUACAUUCAACCUCAGACAGACCCUCUCUGCCACUGGGGCUUGGCAACUUGCCCACAAUCCUUAAGGACCAUCCAACUAAACUGUUGGGGACUGUCUAGAUUCCCUUCUGUGAACCACCUUUUAUCUGAUACUCCUAUGAGGAGAAUAGCCACUCAUACUCUGAAAUACUGUGUGGCUUUUGCCCCCACCCUGCGCUACUCCUUACUUUUAUGGGCCCUCCUUAAGAGAAGAAAUUCAGCUAUCUAGUUCACUCCAGCAUCCAGCACCUGGUCCUUAAUAGGCCAGCAAAUAAUAGUUGUUCAAGCCAGUUGUUGGUUUCCCAUAGACAGCCAGGCACCCCCACACCCACACCUGGGACUCACUCUCUCUAGAAACUCCCAGCACCCAGGCCUCCUUAACACUCCUAUCAACUCCAGCAACAUCCCUGACUCAGUCUCCUGGACUGCUUCUGCUGCUGGGCUGCCUCCCUGAGACCCCUGGGAGCUUAUGGAGAGCCCAAAGCCUUAGUUCUGGCUCCCAGGGUUAGAGAGACUCUGGCAGGUAUCCUGGCCUAGAAUUGCUAGAAAUUCCCUGUGACUGAAUAGAGGGAGGGAAGACAAGACCAGUCCUUUCCAGGUGAAGGAACAGCGUGAAUAAAUGACUGUUGGCAUGAAAAUGCACAUCCUGUUUGAAGAGCAUGUUCUGAUCUGGUGCUGGUAAAGGACCAUAGGCAGAAGGGAGGGUGGAUAAAAGUACUGUCAGACAGAUCUAGAAGACAAUGACCAGGUGGGGAGGUCUGAGCUCCCUGCAGGAUCAGCAAGACUCAGAGUGUCUUAGACUUAAUCCUGCCCACCCCGCAGAUCCACCCAGCCCUCCCUUUCACCCGGCCCCCAGCCUGCCUGAUCCUGCAGCCAAAUGGACUUCUCUCUGGGCCUACGCUUGGGGCCCCGGAAUAAGAAGGCUACCUACCAGGAGCCCCCUCCAUCCUCUGGGCAUGGGCCUCCAGCUACCUCUCCCUGCUUGUUAUGUCCCCCUUCUGCUUGUGCCUGCCCCUGUCCCAGCUGUCCCCCUCCCUCCUGUCCCUGCAAUACUUGUCCCUCAUAUACGGGCACCUGCCCUUCCUAUCCGGGCCUCCCUGGCCCACCCUGCACCUGCUCUUGCCCUCCUUGCCCUGCUUGUCCUCCCUCAACUUGUCCCCGUACCUACUGCGUCCCCUGCUCAAGUCCACCUAUGACCUACUGCCAACACUCACCUUGCCCGGGUGUCCCUUGUUCGGCAGGCCAAAGUAUCUGUCGGGGCUCCCACCUGGGCUGUAGUAGCAGCUGCAUCUGUGGCCGUGGGACUGCUAGGAAGCCUCGGGGCUCCACAGGUUGCUGCAGUUUGUGCUUCAGGAGACAAAGGGCUUCUCAAGGGCUCUGUCUGAUAAUCUAGGCUGAGAGAAUGUGUCCCGUGACAUAUGCUUCAGCUGGCACUGGAGCUACGCCCUCAGAAGCUCUGCGUAGAUGGUAGUUGUAGAGAUGGAGUCGGGUGGACACCCCCUCCCCAAGUCCCGAAGGGGACAGGGGACCACUACCACUCCUUGGAUACUAGUUUCUCUGGGUGUGUUCCUGCUGGUUCCAGAACCUCCUCCUCUGCACCUUCUGGAAAGUGUCCUCAGAACCUUCCCUGCAGCCCUUAAGGUUCAGGCUGAUGUCAAAUUCUGUCUUAUUCUGCUUCAGUCUUCCUGGUGCUGGGGUUAUUGAUGUGUACCACUGUGCCUAGCUGAUUCACAGAGGAAUUUGCAACUUGGGAAUGAGAGGCCAUCACCUGAGCCCACUGAUGAAGCUUGGUGUCACUAAAUGUGAAGAGCCAGACACUGCCUGAUGUCAUGAUGCAGCCUGAAGCAUUCAGCAUUGCCCAGGGAAGAUUCUGGCCAAAGAAACACACAAAUUGCUCAACAUGAAUUAAAUCAAACCUCCAUUGCA